rnacentral:rRNA from 1 species
CCUACGGGAGGCAGCAGUGAGGAAUAUUGGUCAAUGGACGAGAGUCUGAACCAGCCAAGUAGCGUGCAGGAUGACGGCCCUAUGGGUUGUAAACUGCUUUUAUGCGGGGAUAAAGUCGGCUACGCGUAGCCGUUUGUAGGUACCGCAUGAAUAAGGACCGGCUAAUUCCGUGCCAGCAGCCGCGGUAAU